rnacentral:rRNA from 1 species
UACGUAGGCAGCAAGCGUUGUUCGGAGUUACUGGGCGUAAAGGGUGUGUAGGCGGUUUUUUAAGUUUGGUGUGAAAUCUCCCGGCUCAACUGGGAGGGUGCGCCGAAUACUGAAAGACUAGAGUGCGGGAGAGGAAAGUGGAAUUCCUGGUGUAGCGGUGAAAUGCGUAGAUAUCAGGAGGAACACCGGUGGUGUAGACGGCUUUCUGGACCGAAACUGACGCUGAGGAGCGAAAGCGUGGGGAGCGAACAGG